GCCCCAGUGAUUCAUCUCUUAUAUACCACACCUGUGCUCUUGAAGACAUUAAAAUAGCUGAAGUAAAUGUCAAGGGUUUGUUCGUGAGACUCAUUAACUCUUCCCUUGACAAAGAACUGGAGAUUGGAGGUCAUAUUCUCCAGCAAAAUGUGAAUGGACAAACAGUCUCUUUUUACCGCUUCCAUCCGAAUAUCAUAAUGCAGGCCAACUGCACAGUAACA